CCUGCCCAUCACUUGGGGAUAACCUUGCGAAAGUAAGACUAAUACCCAAUGACGUCUCUAGAAGACAUCUGAAGGAGAUUAAAGAUUUAUCGGUGAUGGAUGGGGAUGCGUCUGAUUAGCUUGUUGGCGGGGUAACGGCCCACCAAGGCGACGAUCAGUAGGGGUUCUGAGAGGAAGGUCCCCCACAUUGGAACUGAGACACGGUCCAAACUCCUACGGGAGGCAGCAGUGAGGAAUAUUGGUCAAUGGACGAGAGUCUGAACCAGCCAAGUAGCGUGCAGGAUGACGGCCCUAUGGGUUGUAAACUGCUUUUAUAAGGGAAUAAAGUGAGUCUCGUGAGACUUUUUGCAUGUACCUUAUGAAUAAGGACCGGCUAAUUCCGUGCCAGCAGCCGCGGUAAUACGGAAGGUCCGGGCGUUAUCCGGAUUUAUUGGGUUUAAAGGGAGCGUAGGCCGGAGAUUAAGCGUGUUGUGAAAUGUAGACGCUCAACGUCUGCACUGCAGCGCGAACUGGUUUCCUUGAGUACGCACAAAGUGGGCGGAAUUCGUGGUGUAGCGGUGAAAUGCUUAGAUAUCACGAAGAACUCCGAUUGCGAAGGCAGCUCACUGGAGCGCAACUGACGCUGAAGCUCGAAAGUGCGGGUAUCGAACAGGAUUAGAUACCCUGGUAGUCCGCACGGUAAACGAUGGAUGCCCGCUGUUGGCCUGAACAGGUCAGCGGCCAAGCGAAAGCAUUAAGCAUCCCACCUGGGGAGUA
rnacentral:rRNA from 1 species